GACGAACGCUGGCGGCGUGCUUAACACAUGCAAGCCGAACGAUGAAGCCGGAGCUUGCUCUGGUGAAUUAGUGGCGAACGGGUGAGUAACACGUGAGUAACCUGCCCUUGACUCUGGGAUAACUGCUAGAAAUGGUAGCUAAUACCGGAUACGACCCUCGGAGGCAUCUCCAGGGGGUGGAAAGAAUUUCGGUCAAGGAUGGACUCGCGGCCUAUCAGCUAGUUGGUGAGGUAAAGGCUCACCAAGGCGACGACGGGUAGCCGGCCUGAGAGGGUGACCGGGCACACUGGGACGAAGACACGGCCCAGACUCCUACGGGAGGCAGCAGUGGGGAAUAUUGCACAAUGGGCGCAAGCCUGAUGCAGCAACGCCGCGUGAGGGAUGACGGCCUUCGGGUUGUAAACCUCUUUUAGCAGGGAAGAAGCGAAAGUGACGGUACCUGCAGAAAAAGCACCGGCUAACUACGUGCCAGCCGCCGCGGUAA
rnacentral:rRNA from 1 species